rnacentral:rRNA from 1 species
UGAACGCUGGCUGCAUGCUUAACACAUGCAAGUCGAACGAGAAAGUACCUUCGGGAACGAGUAAAGUGGCGGACGGGUGAGUAAUGCAUAGGAAUCUGCCCAGUAGUGGGGGACAACUCGGGGAAACUCGAGCUAAUACCGCAUGUGUCUUACGAGACAAAGACUUCGGUCGCUAUUGGAUGAGCCUAUGUCAGAUUAGCUUGUUGGUGGGGUAAAGGCCUACCAAGGCUACGAUCUGUAGCUGGUCUGAGAGGAUGAUCAGCCACACUGGGACUGAGACACGGCCCAGACUCCUACGGGAGGCAGCAGUGGGGAAUAUUGGACAAUGGGCGAAAGCCUGAUCCAGCAAUGCAGCGUGUGGAAGAAGGCCUGCGGGUUGUAAAGCACUUUCAGUAGGGAAGAUAAUGACGGUACCUACAGAAGAAGCACCGGCUAA